AAAGUCGCUGUCAAGUGCAUUAAGAACGACGCCACUGCCCAGGCCUUCCUGGCUGAAGCCUCAGUCAUGACGUGAGUGGGGGCGGGGUAGGGAGGAGGUUGGCCUAGGCUAGGAGUGAGGCACCUGCUUCCCCUUUCUGACCACUCUCGUCCUGCCCCAGGCAACUGCGGCAUAGCAACCUGGUGCAGCUCCUGGGCGUGAUCGUGGAGGAGAAGGGCGGGCUCUACAUCGUCACUGAGUACAUGGCCAAGGGGAGCCUCGUGGACUACUUGCGGUCUCGGGGUCGGUCAGUGCUGGGCGGAGACUGUCUCCUCAAGUUCUCGCUAGAUGUCUGUGAGGCCAUGGAGUACCUGGAGGGCAACAACUUCGUGCAUCGAGACCUGGCUGCCCGCAAUGUGCUGGUGUCUGAGGACAACGUGGCCAAGGUCAGCGACUUUGGUCUCACCAAGGAGGCGUCCAGCACCCAGGACACGGGCAAGCUGCCAGUCAAGUGGACAGCCCCUGAGGCCCUGAGAGAGAAGAAAUUCUCCACUAAGUCUGACGUGUGGAGUUUCG
rnacentral:sRNA from 1 species